UUUUCCCCUCCCCCUCUCCUCUUCUGGAAUCCAGUGUCCUGGGAGCCUUUCCAUUCGUGCCUGUCUGUGGCAGUCUGCGGAGGGAAGAGCUGGUAGAAGCACUCUGCUACAGGACUAAGCUCUAUUUUCAAAUCUCUAGAGCCAACCUGGAUUCUGCCUUCCCUCUCCUGGCUUCUCCAGUGAGCUGCUCUGCUCAAUCUGUGCUGAGAUCUCCUUUUGAUCUUGGCACCUGUUCCAACUCGUCAGCCAGGUGAAGGUGAUUUUUUCUCUGUCUCCCUCAGCCAUUGUUUUUGGUCUGCUUUUUCUCCCUCCCUUCCUCCCUCCCUCCUCUCUGUGUUCAGCCCUGCCUCAUGCUUUGAGUAAGUGGGUUUGGCUGUGGCUUGUAGUACGCGUGGAGCUCCAGAAUAUUCCUCACUAGAGUGAAGGUGUGGAACACAGGAGUAGAAUCCUGAGACAGAACAGUGAGGUGUUUUGGUGAGGUAUAAUUAUUUUGUAGAAUGCUGAUUUAGAACACUGAGGUAGAAUUUCUGAGUAGGGUUCUGAGCUGGAACUUUAGCAAUAACUUUAAUUCUGAAGUAGAAUACUGUGGUGGAAUACUUGAUCGGAAUACUGAUCAAGUAUUUUGUGGAACAUUGAGGUAGGUACUGUAGAGUAGGGAGGAUGGGGGGUCAUACUGCAGUAGUGUGUUUGGUUCUGCUGGGCCUAUGCUGUGUGCUACUGCUCAGAGGAGGUGAGAACACAGGAGGCAUAGUCUCUAUAGGCCAGGCUGUGGAGGAGAGAGGGAUGGACGGAGGAAUGGAGGCCCUACAUGGAGAGGAGUCCCAGGAUGAGCCGGCUAAAGAACAGGAGCUCACAGAGACACAAAGACAGACUGGCAACACAAAGAGAGCCACAGAGGAAGAAGCCGUACCAGCCCGGGUCAGGAGAGCCCCAGAGGAGGAGGAGGGCAAAGGGAAGAAAAAAAAGGGCAAGAAGGACAAGAAGAACAAGGAGUCUAAAGCAGACAAAAAGCUGAAGGACAAGGGAGGCCGCCGCGGCAAAGCACCAACAACUCCACCACCAACCACUACCACACUACCACCGACCACUACCACAGAGGUGUACACAGAACCAGCUCCCACAGAACCUGACCCCUACCCGGACUUCCCCUAUUUAGACAGCGAGGAUGACUACUGGAACCCUGAUGAUGAUAAGCCAGCCACUCCAGAGACUGACUCAGAGGAUGAGUACUGGAACCCUGAUGAUGAUAAGCCAGCCACUCCAGAGACUGACUCAGAGGAUGAGUACUGGAACCCUGAUGAUGAUAAGCCAGCCACCCCAGAGACUGACUCAGAGGAUGAGUACUGGAACCCUGAUGAUGAUAAGCCAGCCACUCCAGAGACUGACUCAGAGGAUGAGUACUGGAACCCUGAUGAUGAUAAGCCAGCCACUCCAGAGACUGACUCAGAGGAUGAGUACUGGAACCCUGAUGAUGAUAAGCCAGCCACUCCAGAGACUGACUCAGAGGAUGAGUACUGGAACCCUGAUGAUGAUAAGCCAGCCACUCCAGAGACUGACUCAGAGGAUGAGUACUGGAACCCUGAUGAUGAUAAGCCAGCCACCCCAGAGACUGACUCAGAGGACGACUACUGGAAGGGAGAGGAGGAGGAGCCUGCAGGCCCAGUGGUCGACCCAGAAAAUGACUACUGGAAGGGAGAGGACCCGACGGCCACACACACCCCUCUUGUGGUGGAUGGAAAGGUGGACACGGGAGAUGAAGACUACUGGGAACCCAAAUAUGAGGUGCCCGAGAAUCUUCCUUUCCCUGAUGGUAAAGAGGUCGUCCCCACAGAGAAAGACGACUUGAGCUACGCUGUCACAGAGGAUUCUAUUACACCACCACCUACCUAUGAAAGCCCAUGGUACGAGGAGUAUGACUAUGGAUAUAGUGGUGGAGAGAGUAUGUACACACACACACACACACACACACACACACACACACAUGUACGCACACGAAAUGAACUGUAACAUGAACCCAUGGCCAAAUCUCCAAUAGAAAUCUGUUUUUCAUUUCAUUGGGACCCUGCAGUAAAUGAAAGAUUAGAUAGACACAAUAAAGAAUUGGACCACUACCACAGAGUCAAAGUAAUGGGCCUACACUCUCUCAUUCCCCACAAGAAUGAACAAGAGACGUAUAUAAUUGUCAGACUGUUUCAGUUACAUGGUCUGCUAUCUUCUUCAUAAAUUUGGGUUUAGCGAGACUUUGCCAGCUGAAGUUACAAACUGCAAAAUAAGCAAAGUAAUGGAAUUGAUCCUUUCUUCAAACACUUAUGUUUAUGGUUAUGUGGCAAACAUGAAGAAAGGGAGAGGGGAAAAAGUUGAAUGCUUUGUUCACACCUGUUGUGAUGGAUUAUCUGUCAGAUAGAAUAGGGAAUCAUGACAGCUGUUUGUAUUUUAUCUGCAACAUUUUGAAUGUUUCACAUCUGAAUACACCCCACAGUAUUUACUCUAAACUGUAAUGGGGAGGUGGGGAAAAUGGAUUCACCCAUUGAAGUAUUUCACUCCUUUGUUUACUACAGCGAAAAAACAGGAGGAGGAGGAGGAGAGGGAGAGACAAAGGAAAGAAAAGGAGAGAGAGGAUAGAGGUAUGAUGCACAGCAUAUUUUCCAUUAUGAUCUGUGAUCUGUCUGUUCCAUUAUGAUCUGAAUGACUGAUCUAUCUGUCCUUCUGUCCGUCCAUCUGUCCUAGGUUGUGGAUACUUCUCAUCAUACAGUAAUAUUUGACAUUACGUUUACAUUUUGGUAAUUUAGCAGUAAGACUAAAUAUUUUUGGUAAUUCUUAUGCAGAGUGGCUAACAAUCAGUGCAUUCAAUUAAGGGAGAUAAAACAACCACACAUUGCAACAAGUAAAACUUAGUAACACUGCAAUGCCAAACAUUGUACUGUCAAAGCUCCCAGACAAUCAGAUGAACAUAUGGCCCACAGAUAGAACAUGUCAUGUUAGUCAUAGAUUCAUGUACAGGAGGUUUAUCAGUCCCAUGUGGUUCAUGGUUCCAAUUAAAGCCAAAACACAGAUGUUUGUCUCUGCCUGGGCUUCACUUGCUAAGACUUGCAGAUGAGGGACAAAAGUUAAUUCUCUCCAGAACAGGACAAAUCUCAACCGUAGAAAUGUGUUGUGAAGGAAGGAUGGUAGGGUAGAAAGGCCUGGGGUAGAGUGGUACCCUGUACCGUUUGAAUUAUUUAUGAGCUGGAGUGGAGCAGAGAAAGAGGGAGGGAUGGGCCAGCCAAGAGACGUUACAGUACUAACAGGAAAGAUGAAUGAAAAGAGAGAAAAAAACAAGAUAAGGGAUAGAAACCGAGGAGCACAGAGUCCCGGUUAGAGAAGGAAGGCAGAGAUGGAGAUCUAACCAGCAGCUCUUUCUGUACCUCGUGCACUGUGACCAAGUUACAACCACCGGAACUGUAUAAUCUUAAUAUGGAACAUUUGUCUAUGUGGGAUAGCCAGGAUGUGGGAUUAACCAGUAAAGGGAUGACAGAUAUACUGUGUUUUCAGUGUGGGAUUAACCAGUAAAGGGAUGACAGAUAUAGUGCGUUUUCAAUGUGGGAUUAACCAGUAAAGAGAUGACAGAUAUACUGUGUUUUCAGUGUGGGAUUAACCAGUAAAGGGAUGACAGAUGUACUGUGUUUUCAGUGUGGGAUUAACCAGUAAAGGGAUGACAGAUAUAGUGCGUUUUCAAUGUGGGAUUAACCAGUAAAGGGAUGACAGAUAUAGUGCGUUUUCAAUGUGGGAUAUACAGGGUGUGGGAUUAACCAGUAAAGGGAUGACAGAUAUAGUGCGUUUUCAAUGUGGGAUUAACCAGUAAAGGGAUGACAGAUAUAGUGCGUUUUCAAUGUGGGAUAUACAGGGUGUGGGAUUAACCAGUAAAGAGAUGACAGAUAUAGUGUGUUUUCAAUGUGGGAUAUACAGGGUGUGGGAUUAACCAGUAAAGAGAUGACAGAUAUACUGUGUUUUCAGUGUGGGAUUAACCAGUAAAGGGAUGACAGAUGUACUGUGUUUUCAGUGUGGGAUUAACCAGUAAAGGGAUGACAGAUAAUCUUUAAGGAUCCUUGAGGUUAAAUGUGUCUGUGAUCAAAAUCACUCAACUGAAACAGUCAUAAAACGGGUGUGUCUGUCUGUCUGCCACUUUAUGGAGUAUGCUGUACCCUGUCUCUAGAUUUACUGAAUACAAUAAAAUUCAUGUGAAUUUAAAAUCAGCACAUUCCUGGAUUUGGAGAGAUAGAAAGGAACCCAGAGGCAUGUGGGUCCUCUGAGGCAUUACUGGAUUUGGCCACACACACGCUGGCACGGCACAGGCACCUUUUCAAGAGCAGACGCUCUUACCCAGAGAGACUUACAGGAGCAAUUAGGGAUAUGUGCCUUCUCAAGGGCACAUGGGCAGAUUUUUCACCUAACUGAAAGGUUGCUUCUUCACCUCGGGGAUUCAAAGAAGCAACCUUUAAGUUACUGGCCCAACACUCUUAACGAGCUCACACACACACACGCACACACACACUCGAUUACUGGAAUGGUAAUUAGUGAUUGACUAUGGGUGUUCUUUAACAGAGAGAGCUCAGCAGAGGAGGGAGGAGGAAGAUAGGGAAAAAGCCAAGAAGAAACCACCCGUAUUCAAAGAGCCCAAAAGUAAGUCAACUACUAACAUCCAAAUACCUUUAUCUCCAUGUCAUCUUCAUAUUCACCAUUUUUGUAAUCUGACUAGUAUAAUAAUUCAAUUUAUUUGACAUAAUGGGUUUCCAGAAACCAUUAGCAUACUGUCUGAUGUUUUCCAGUGUGGUUAUGAAUGUUUGUGAAGUGUGUGUGACUGAG
ensembl:lncRNA